GACGAACGCUGGCGGCGUGCUUAACACAUGCAAGUCGAACGGUAAGGCCCUUCGGGGUACACGAGUGGCGAAUGGGUGAGUAACACGUGGGUGAUCUGCCCUGCACUUCGGGAUAAGCCUGGGAAACUGGGUCUAAUACCGGAUAGGACUCCUGGCUUCAUGGUUGGGGGUGGAAAGCUUUUGCGGUGUGGGAUGGGCCCGCGGCCUAUCAGCUUGUUGGUGGGGUAAUGGCCUACCAAGGCGACGACGGGUAGCCGGCCUGAGAGGGUGACCGGUCACACUGGGACUGAGAUACGGCCCAGACUCCUACGGGAGGCAGCAGUGGGGGAUAUUGCACAAUGGGCGCAAGCCUGAUGCAGCGACGCCGCGUGAGGGAUGACGGCCUUCGGGUUGUAACCUCUUUCAGCUAUGACGAAGCGCAAGUGACGGUAGUAGCAGAAGAAGGACCGGCCAACUACGUGCCAGCCGCCGCUGUAA
rnacentral:rRNA from 1 species